UACGAAGGGGGCUAGCGUUGCUCGGAAUCACUGGGCGUAAAGCGCACGUAGGCGGACUCUUAAGUCGGUGGUGAAAUCCUGGAGCUCAACUCCAGAACUGCCUUCGAUACUGAGAGUCUUGAGUCCGGGAGAGGUGAGUGGAACUGCGAGUGUAGAGGUGAAAUUCGUAGAUAUUCGCAAGAACACCGGUGGCGAAGGCGGGACUCUGGGCCGAUACUGACGCUGAGGAGCGAAAGCGUGGGGAGCGAACAGG
rnacentral:rRNA from 1 species